rnacentral:rRNA from 1 species
CAGCAGCCGCGGUAAUACGGAGGGUGCAAGCGUUAAUCGGAAUUACUGGGCGUAAAGCGCACGCAGGCGGUCUGACAAGUCAGAUGUGAAAUCCCCGGGCUUAACCUGGGAACUGCAUUUGAAACUGUCAGGCUGGAGUCUUGUAGAGGGGGGUAGAAUUCCAGGUGUAGCGGUGAAAUGCGUAGAGAUCUGGAGGAAUACCGGUGGCGAAGGCGGCCCCCUGGACAAAGACUGACGCUCAGGUGCGAAAGCGUGGGGAGCAAACAGGAUUAGAUACCCGAGUAGUCCCUGUCUCUUAUAA